AUCGAACGCUGGCGGAAUGCUUUACACAUGCAAGUCGAACGGCAGCACGGGGGCAACCCUGGUGGCGAGUGGCGAACGGGUGUGUAAUACAUCGGAACGUGCCCGGUCGUGGGGGAUAACGUAGCGAAAGUAACGCUAAUACCGCAUACGAUCUGCGGAUGAAAGCGGGGGACCUUCGGGCCUCGCGCGCUCGGGGGGGCCGAUGUGAGAUUUGAUAGUUGGUGGGGUAAGGACCUACCAAGCCGACCAUCGGUAGUGGGUCGGAGAGGACGACCGGCCACACUGGGACUGAGACACGGCCCAGACUCCUACGGGAGGCAGCAGUGGGGAAUUUUGGACAAUGGGCGCAAGCCUGAUCCAGCCAUUCCGCGUGCAGGACGAAGGCCUUCGGGUUGUAAACUGCUUUUGUAUGGAACGAAAAGGCUCUGGCUAAUACCUGGGGCUCAUGACGGUACCGUAAGAAUAAGCACCGGCUAACUACGUG
rnacentral:rRNA from 1 species